rnacentral:rRNA from 1 species
GACGAACGCUGGCGGCGUGCUUAACACAUGCAAGUCGAACGGAAAGGCCCUGCUUUUGUGGUGUGCUCGAGUGGCGAACGGGUGCGUAACACGUGAGUAACCUGCCCUUGACUUUGGGAUAACUUCAGGAAACUGGGGCUACUACCGUAUCGGAGCUCCUGCUGCAUGGUGGGCGUUGGAUCGUUUCGGCGGUUGGGGAUGGACUCGCGGCUUAUCAGCUUGUUGGUGGGGUAGUGGCUUACCAAGGCUUUGACGGGUAGCCGGCCUGAGAGGGUGACCGGCGACAUUGGGACUGAGAGACGGACCAGACUCCUACGGGAGGCAGCAGUGGGGAAUAUUGCACAAUGGGCGGAAGCCUGAUGCAGCAACGCCGCGUGCGGGAUGACGGCCUUCGGGUUGUAAACCGCUUUCGCCUGUGACGAAGCGUGAGUGACGGUAAUGGGUAAAGAAGCACCGGCUAACUACGUG